rnacentral:tRNA from 2 species
ACCUGGCUAGCUCAGUUGGUAGAGCGUUCCACUGGAAAUGGAGAGGUCCCGGGUUCGAUACCCGGACUAGGCG